rnacentral:rRNA from 1 species
UACGUAGGGUGCAAGCGUUGUCCGGAAUUAUUGGGCGUAAAGAGCGUGUAGGCGGCCAGGUAGGUGGGUUGUGAAAACUGGAGGCUCAACCUUCAGACGUCGACCCAAACCCCCUGGCUAGAGUCCGGAAGAGGAGAGUGGAAUUCCUUGUGUAGCGGUGAAAUGCGCAGAUAUCAGGAAGAACACCCGUGGCGAAGGCGGCUCUCUGGGACGGUACUGACGCUGAGACGCGAAAGCGUGGGGAGCGAACAGG